rnacentral:lncRNA from 1 species
AGCCCAAAAAAGACCCGGACAAAGAAAGAAGGACUCCAAAGACUCGAACCAUCUGCGGACGGCAACACACAUCUUUCCAGGUGAGCUGAAA